rnacentral:rRNA from 1 species
UGGGGAAUAUUGCACAAUGGAGGGAACUCUGAUGCAGCGACGCCGCGUGAGUGAUGAAGGAAUUCGUUUCGUAAAACUCUGUUCUAUGGGAAGAAAAGGACUGUACCAUAGGAGAAAGCUCCGGCUAAAUACGUGCCAGCAGCCGCGGUAAUACGUAGGGAGCGAGCGUUGUCCGGAAUUAUUGGGCGUAAAGGGUGCGCAGGCGGCUUUACAAGUUGGAUGUGAAAUAUUGUGGCUCAACCACAAACGUGCAUCCAAAACUGCAAAGCUUGAGUUAAGGAGAGGUAAGUGGAAUUCCUGGUGUAGCGGUGGAAUGCGUAGAUAUCAGGAGGAAUACCGGUGGCGAAGGCGACUUACUGGACUUAAACUGGCGCUCAGGCACGAAAGCGUGGGGAGCAAACAGG